UACACUCUGUGUAUGAAUCUGGAGAGCUCGGCACGCUUGUCCACUUUAGAGAAAAAAAGAGCUUGGCGGGAGGGGUCCUGAUGCACCGUGAAAUUGCCCCUCCCAAUUAAAGCACAGCGCUUAUGUUAUUGAAGAGCAGCUUAGCCAAUGAGGUGGCGAUACAGGCUGAUACAGCAUUAAAAAAAGCAGCAGAACGAGUGAAGGAAAAAACUGCUGUGUGUGUGUAGUUUUUAUCCCUCCCCAGAGCUGAUUUGUAUUACUUUACUGUAGUAAUCCAUUAGGGUGUGUGUGGAUGUGAGGCAAGAGUUCACAGUGUUCUAGAACUAUGCACUAGUCAAUUAUUCUAACACUGGAAAUAAGAGAAAGUAAUUCUUGAAGGAAUUUUCAUUGUCUUUUUUUCUAUCUAUCUCAGUGCCCUGAAGCUGCUAGAGACGUUUGCCCUGAGGAGGAAGAGACCCAGGACACAAGACAUAUUCAGUCAGAGAGACGCAAAACUGCUUGGAGCAGGGAGCAGGCCAGGGAGUGAAGGUAAGAGGGGAUGCAUAUUCAGAGGAAGCACCCUUUAGCUGUGUAGUCCAGCUCUGCUCUGCUCUGUUAUUCUCUGUGUUCCUGUCCCAUCUGUUCUCUUGGCCCCUAUUAUCCAAUCACCUUCCACUAUACUGCGUGCCAGAACACACUACUUCUUCUUUGCAGGGCCCUCUUUCUCUGACUCAGUCUGUUCAUAAUCAGCCAAUUUGCUGUAAAAUGCUUUCUUAUUAUUUGACCAAUCUGGUGAUAACACACAGAGCCAACGGGGGCAUGAUACUAUGGGUGUUUCACUGAUGUGUUGGGACCUUCGUCUAGGCUAUUCCUCCCCUUCUAAAAUGUUGUUCUUGAGAUGGUGACAGGGACCUUGAGUGUUAUGUAAGUAUACAUGAG
rnacentral:lncRNA from 1 species